GACGAACGCUGGCGGCGUGCCUAAUACAUGCAAGUUGAGCGCUGAAGGUUGGUACUUGUACCAACUGGAUGAGCAGCGAACGGGUGAGUAACGCGUGGGGAAUCUGCCUUUGAGCGGGGGACAACAUUUGGAAACGAAUGCUAAUACCGCAUAAAAACUUUAAACACAAGUUUUAAGUUUGAAAGAUGCAAUUGCAUCACUCAAAGAUGAACCCGCGUUGUAUUAGCUAGUUGGUGAGGUAAAGGCUCACCAAGGCGAUGAUACAUAGCCGACCUGAGAGGGUGAUCGGCCACAUUGGGACUGAGACACGGCCCAAACUCCUACGGGAGGCAGCAGUAGGGAAUCUUCGGCAAUGGACGGAAGUCUGACCGAGCAACGCCGCGUGAGUGAAGAAGGUUUUCGGAUCGUAAAACUCUGUUGGUAGAGAAGAACGUGGGUGAGAGUGGAAAGCUCAUCAAGUGACGGUAACUACCCAGAAAGGGACGGCUAACUACGUG
rnacentral:rRNA from 1 species